rnacentral:rRNA from 1 species
CCUACGGGGGGCAGCAGUGGGGAAUAUUGCACAAUGGGGGAAACCCUGAUGCAGCGACGCCGCGUGAGUGAAGAAGUAAUUCGUUAUGUCAAGCUCUAUCAGCAGGGCAGAAAAUGACGGUACCUGAGUAAGAAGCCCCGGCUAACUACGUGCCAGCAGCCGCGGUAAUACGGGGGAGGCAAGCGUUCGCCGGAGUUAGUGGGUUUAAAGGGUGCGUAGGCGGGGAGUGAAGGCAGAGGUGUAAGUCCCCCGCUCAAAGGGGUGACGUGCCAUGGAUACUGGCUUGCUGGAAUGCGGAUGACGUGGGAGGAAGGUGUGGUGUAGCGGUGAAAUGCAUAGAUAUCACACAGAACACCGAUUGCGAAGGCAUCUCACGAAUCCGCGAUUGACGCUGAUGCACGAAAGCGUGGGUAUCAAACAGGAUUAGAUACCCUUGUAGUC